rnacentral:rRNA from 1 species
UACAGAGGUCUCAAGCGUUGUUCGGAUUCAUUGGGCGUAAAGGGUGCGUAGGCGGCGCGGUAAGUCGGGUGUGAAAUCUCGGAGCUUAACUCCGAAACUGCAUUCGAUACUGCCGUGCUUGAGGACUGGAGAGGAGACUGGAAUUUACGGUGUAGCGGUGAAAUGCGUAGAUAUCGUAAGGAAGACCAGUGGCGAAGGCGGGUCUCUGGGCCGAUACUGACGUGAGGAGCGAAAGCGUGGGGGAGCGAACAGG